GUCUACGGCCAUACCACCCUGAACGCGCCCGAUCUCGUCUGAUCUCGGAAGCUAAGCAGGGUUGGGCCUGGUUAGUACUUGGAUGGGAGAAUCGGAUUUUAGAAA
rnacentral:rRNA from 1 species